rnacentral:rRNA from 1 species
UACGAAGGGGGCUAGCGUUGUUCGGAAUCACUGGGCGUAAAGGGCGCGUAGGCGGCUUUAUAAGUCGGGGGUGAAAGCCUGUGGCUCAACCACAGAAUUGCCUUCGAUACUGUAGAGCUUGAGACCGGAAGAGGUAAGUGGAACUGCGAGUGUAGAGGUGAAAUUCGUAGAUAUUCGCAAGAACACCAGUGGCGAAGGCGGCUUACUGGUCCGGUUCUGACGCUGAGGCACGAAAGCGUGGGGAGCAAACAGG